rnacentral:rRNA from 1 species
AUGAAGCGAAUACCCCUUGUAAACCACUGUCAGGGUCUAGGACGAACUGAUCAGACCCAGAGGAAGGGCCGGCUAAUCUCGUGGCAGCAGCCGCGGUAAUACCAGAGGCCCAAGCGUUAGGCGGAAUCACUGGGCUUAAAGGGUGCGCAGGCGGGCGAGCAGGCAUCUCGUGAAAUCCCUCGGCUCAACCGAGGAAUUGCGGGGUGAACUGCUCGUCUUGAGGAAGGCAGAGGCUGUCGGAACGUUCGGUGGAGCGGUGAAAUGCGUAGAUAUCGAACGGAACGUCGAAGGGGUAGCCAGGCAGCUGGUCCUUACCUGACGCUCAGGCACGAAAGCGUGGGGAUCAAACAGGAUUAGAUACCCUGGUAGUCCACGCAGUAAACGAUGUGUACUAGUUUGAUGCAGAUCUGACUCUGUGUCGAACGCCGAGAAAUCAUUAAGUACACCGCCUGGGGAGUACGGUCGCAAGGUUAAAACUCAAAGGAAUUGACGGGGGCUCACACAAGCGGUGGAGCAUGUUGCUUAAUUGGAAGCAACGCGAAGAACCUUACCUGGGCUUGACAUGCAGGGAUUAGCUCUUGGAAACAUGAGUGACGCCCUCGGGUGGAACGUGCACAGGUGCUGCAUGGCUGUUGUCAGCUCGUGCUGUGAAGUGUCGGGUUAAGUCCUUUAACGAGCGCAACCCUUGUCGGUAGUAGCCAGCGCGUAAUGGCGGGGACUCUAGCGAGACCACCGGUGUCAAACCGGAGGAAGGUGGGGAUGACGUC